CCUGCCAGUAGUCAUAUGCUUGUCUCAAAGAUUAAGCCAUGCAUGUCUCAGUACAAGCCAAAUUAAGGUGAAACCGCGAAAGGCUCAUUAAAUCAGUUAUGGUUCCUUAGAUCGUACCCACAUUUACUUGGAUAACUGUGGUAAUUCUAGAGCUAAUACAUGCAAACAGAGCUCCGACCGGAGACGGAAGGAGUGCUUUUAUUAGAUCAAAACCAAUCGGCGGCGUGUUCGCUUGCGUUCACGUUCGCCGCCCAACUUGGUGACUCUGAAUAACUUUAUGCUGAUCGCACGGUCUUGCACCGGCGACGCAUCUUUCAAAUGUCUGCCUUAUCAACUGUCGAUGGUAGGUUCUGCGCCUACCAUGGUUGUAACGGGUAACGGGGAAUCAGGGUUCGAUUCCGGAGAGGGAGCCUGAGAAACGGCUACCACAUCCAAGGAAGGCAGCAGGCGCGCAAAUUACCCACUCCCGGCACGGGGAGGUAGUGACGAAAAAUAACGAUACGGGACUCAUCCGAGGCCCCGUAAUCGGAAUGAGUACACUUUAAAUCCUUUAACGAGGAUCAAUUGGAGGGCAAGUCUGGUGCCAGCAGCC
rnacentral:rRNA from 2 species